rnacentral:rRNA from 1 species
GAUGAACGCUGGCGGCGUGCUUAACACACGCAAGUCGAACGGUGAACACGGAGCUUGCUCUGUGGGAUCAGUGGCGAACGGGUGAGUAACACGUGAGCAACCUGCCCCUGACUCUGGGAUAAGCGCUGGAAACGGCGUCUAAUACUGGAUAUGUGACGUGACCGCAUGGUCUGCGUUUGGAAAGAUUUUUCGGUUGGGGAUGGGCUCGCGGCCUAUCAGCUUGUUGGUGAGGUAAUGGCUCACCAAGGCGUCGACGGGUAGCCGGCCUGAGAGGGUGACCGGCCACACUGGGAUUGAGACACGGCCCAGACUCCUACGGGAGGCAGCAGUGGGGAAUAUUGCACAAUGGGCGAAAGCCUGAUGCAGCAACGCCGCGUGAGGGAUGACGGCCUUCGGGUUGUAAACCUUUUUUAGCAGGGAAGAAGCGAAAGUGACGGUACCUGCAGAAAAAGCGCCGGCUAACUACGUG